UACAGAGGUUGCAAGCGUUAAUCGGAAUUACUGGGCGUAAAGCGUGCGCAGACGGUUAUCUAAGUCGAGUGUGAAAGCCCCGGGCUCAACCUGGGAAUUGCAUUCGAAACUGAAUAGCUAGGGUGCGGAAGAGGGAAGUGGAAUUUCCGGUGUAGCGGUGAAAUGCGUAGAUAUCGGAAGGAACAUCAGUGGCGAAAGCGACUUCCUGGUCCAGCACCGACGUUCAGGCACGAAAGCGUGGGGAGCAAACAGG
rnacentral:rRNA from 1 species